rnacentral:tRNA from 1 species
AGCGGGGUAGAGUAAUGGUAUCUCGUCAGGCUCAUAACCUGAAGACGGACGUUCGAAUCGUCCCCCCGCAA